CCGGUCACUCGAACCGGUCAGAGGCGCGCAGGCAGAACGACGAGUCCUGAGAAAAUGCUGCCCCCUGACCUGGUUGGCAUAGACACAAUGAAACAGCAUGAGAGAUGGGCUGGAAUGCUGUUGGACAAAGCAGGAGUUCAGCACCACUGGCAUCAAGAGGACUCAGAACUGUGGAGAAGGAGCCCCUUUGCUGGAGAGGUGACAUGCAAACGUUUGCAGACUUCUCUUUCUCAAUGCAAGAAAAGGUUGUUCCCAACAUGAUAAAAUACCAUCCAUCCAUCCAUCCAUCCAUCCAUCCAUCCAUCCAUCCAUCCAUCUUCUGCUUAUCUAGCAACAGCAGUCUAAGAAGAAAUGCCCAGACCUUCCUCUUCACAGACACUUCUUCCAGUUCUUCCUGCGUCUAA
rnacentral:lncRNA from 1 species